UGUUUGACCUCCAAGAAUUCUCCAUUUUAUAUAGCACAGAGUCGAAAUAAAGUAUAUUUUAUUUAAUUUUAGAAGUAAUAAAAAUAAUGUGUUGUUAUGAUAUUUGUUAUCAAUUUUUCUUCAAUAAAAUACUUGUUGUCCAUUGCCAUCAACAUAUGUGCUUUGUAGAAUGUCAUUUCACUCCUUAGAUGAAUAUACUUGAAGUGUUAUAUAUAGAUAUGUCUAUAUAUAAAUAUUCGCAAUGCUCUUACUCUGUUGUUAUAAACUAUUGUUUACUUGUAGAUAUAAUAAUAAAUUUAAAGACUAGAUUGUUAAAUCAAAACAUGAUUCAUGAAAGCAUUGACUAUUGAGGACAAUGAAAGCUUCAAUACUGCAUCUCAUGUAGAAAACAAUAGUAGGUUGGGUUUAAUUUUUUGUUUUUGGUACAUC
rnacentral:lncRNA from 1 species